UUAAAUUGAAGAGUUUGAUCAUGGCUCAGAUUGAACGCUGGCGGCAGGCCUAACACAUGCAAGUCGAGCGGUAGCACAGAGAGCUUGCUCUCGGGUGACGAGCGGCGGACGGGUGAGUAAUGUCUGGGAAACUGCCUGAUGGAGGGGGAUAACUACUGGAAACG
rnacentral:rRNA from 1 species